ensembl:lncRNA
AUAUAUAUAUAUACACAUUGAAAUAUAUAUAUAUUUCAAUGUAUCAAGAAUAUAUGUAUAUAUAUAUACUUGUUUUAUAGUGAUCGUUAUCACUCUCCGCUCAAACACACACCGCACACACGCGCCACACACACACACACACACACACACACACACAUACACACACACACUAUUGGCAGUUUGUUCAGCUUCAAGCUGCUUCUUAAACUGAAGUGUGACCUCUAGUGUUCUGACACCGUGUGUGUAGACGGCAGCGAGGCGGCUACAAACAAACGGCCCUCCAACAGCGACACGCUUGCAUUUUAAGAUUUCUAAGAAACUCCAGGAUCGUGAGAUAAAGUCAAUCUGGAAUAUAAAAUACAAAUCUAAUAAUAAUAACUUUAUUGAGACGUCUCACACUGACCCGUGAGCUUGUUUUAACGUGCAGGUGUUAUUUUCAUGUGUUCAUUAUUCUGCACAGUGGCUCUGAAACAUCCAUGUGUGUAUUACAACUAUUUGUAUUUCAUCUGUAUUUUAUCUAAGAUGAAAUGACCUUUGGCCUCACAGAAACCACCCAGAGUAGAUUCAGCUGCAUUCUCAUUUGUAUUAAAGCACAUUCUAACCAAAUGUUGAACAAACUGUAGCACAGUUAUGAAAAUGGAUGGAUGAAUUGAUUGUAAGAUAUUGUAUGAUAAGUAUGAGGAAAGCUGCAAUAAGCUGUAAUAACAUGUGCCAACAAGCUAAAUGUCAUAUUAUGACAUUCUAUUGCAGCAGAACGGCGGGACUGUAAAGUGCUUUUGCACAACACAGAACCCUGUGUUGUGCAAAAAGAGAAACCUUCAUCCUUUAGCGGUUAUACGGAACUCAGACGCUGCAGCUGCAGAGCACAGAGUAACACCUUACUUGUGUGUGUGUGUGUGUGUGUGUGUGUGUGUGUUAGGAAGGAAGGAAACAGUCAUUGCCACCAAAACCUCAUGGAUUUUGACCUUUUCAUUGUAGAUUCACAUGAAAAUAACCCAACAUAUAAACCUCAGAACGGAACAUCUGUUUUGGAAUAUUUAAGCAAAGCGGUCUCGAUUUCGAGUGAGCGAGGCGGAUUGAACCGCAAUAUAUUCGUCAUUCAAUUACACAACAUUUAGGGGGGAGAAUAUCAAGAGGAACACAUCUCCCACCUCUGCAGUUCAUCAUGGCUGCCGCCAGUUCUAAUCUGUCUUUCUGUGUCGGUUGUUAGUGAAAACGAAUCAACUUUCAUCCAACAGUUGGAUAAUAAUUCAACGUGGACGGUAUUUCACAAGGCUGUGAAACAAGACCUCCCAAAGAGCCAGUUAGGUCAUCACCCCUUUUAUAGUCCUUACGUGUGUAUGUUCAAUUAGGGCCAUAAAGACCUGCUUCAUGCUGAUUGCAUGUGUGUGUGUGUGUGUGUGUGAUUUUACAGGAAGUGAGAAGGUAUUACUUUCUGAUUCAUCAUCACCUGUUGAACCUGACUGAAUCAAACUGGAGCCGUACUCAGUGAAAACGACGGUUUAAACUAAACAGACAGAUUUUCUUUUAUCAAAGUCAAGCAUCACGUGACACGUGAAGACACGCAUAAAAAGAAACAACAACUGUUGUGCGUUUUCUUUGCAACGGGUGGAAUGUAAACUGCGUGAACACUGAUGAUGAAAUGAGUAAAGAUAAUAUGGCCGACAUCUUUACCUUUAUAUGUGGACCUCAUGGAUGUAAACUCCAUCUGCUCCCGACCCCCCACACACACACACACACACACACACACACACACACACACACACACAUCACAGCUUCGUUGAGCUCCACAUGGACCACACAUGCAGCAGCUGGCCACUAGAGGGCAGCUGCUGCCCACACUGGACUUUAGGCACUAAUUUAAAGGGCCAGAACUUUUUUGUGUGUUUGGUUCCGGCCUUUUCUCAUGAGAGAGUGACAUCUGUCGGGAUCAAUUCACGGGUCAUUCAUUGUCUUUGCCAGCAGGUAGUGACUCACUCAGCCAAUCAGAUCCGUCCAUUCAGGUCUGCGCUUGUUCCGGUGGUGGGGCAUGAGGGGCGGGAUGAGGGUUUUUAUUGGUCUACAGCCUGUCAAUCAUCUGGAAUGGCACUUUAGGGGUAAACAUGAGAAGGAGCAUAGCGAUUGAAUGUUGAAUGAAAUUCUCAGUGAGUGUUUAUUUAAUCUGAUAUUGAAAUGAUUAUUAUAUGUACGCUGUCUUAGUGUGGCAUUAUGUAGAGCUACUUAUACAUUCAAUUAUAUACUAUAUGCAGUGAUAAGUGAUAUUUUCUUUCUAGUAUUAUUCUUCUGUAAAACCUUUGAAAAAAAUGGACGGGUGUACUGAAAAUGUAUUUAAUUAUGUUACAGCAAUAUAUAAGUAAUUUUCCAUAUAUAUAUAUAUAAA